AGUGAACGCUGGCGGUAGGCCUAACACAUGCAAGUCGAACGGCAGCACAGUAAGAGCUUGCGCUUACGGGUGGCGAGUGGCGGACGUGUGAGGAAUACAUCGGAAUCUACUUUUUCGUGGGAGAUAACGUAGGGAAACUUACUCUAAUACCGCAUACGACCUACGGGUGAAAGCAGGGGAUCUUCGUACCUUGCGCGAUGGGAUGACCCGAUGUCGGAUUAGCUAGUUGGCGGGGUAAAGGCCCACCAAGGCGACGAUCCGUAGCUGGUGUGAGAGGAUGAUCGGCCACACGGGAACUGAGACACGGUCCAGACUACUACGGGAGGCAGCAGUCGGGAAUAUUGGACAAUGGGCGCAAGCAUUACACAGCCAUACCGCGUGUGUGACGAAGGCCUUCGGGUUGUAAAGACCUUUUGUUGGGAAAGAACAGCUGCCGGUAAAUAAGCCGCUGUUCUGACGGUACCUAAAGAAUAAGCACCGGCUAACUUCGUG
rnacentral:rRNA from 1 species